CAGCCGCCGCGGGAAUACAGAGGGUGCAAGCGUUAUCCGGAAUUAUUGGGCGUAAAGAGCUCGUAGGCGGUUUGUCGCGUCUGCUGUGAAAACUGGAGGCUCAACCUCCAGCCUGCAGUGGGUACGGGCAGACUAGAGUGCGGUAGGGGAGAUUGGAAUUCCUGGUGUAGCGGUGGAAUGCGCAGAUAUCAGGAGGAACACCGAUGGCGAAGGCAGAUCUCUGGGCCGUAACUGACGCUGAGGAGCGAAAGCGUGGGGAGCGAACAGGAUUAGAUACCCCUGUAGUCCCUGUCUCUUAUAC
rnacentral:rRNA from 1 species